CAUUUGUUUGUAUGAUUAACCUCGUUCAGCAUAUCAAUCUUAAGAAACGUCAAAGAUUAAAAAUACAAAUUUCUACUCGAAUAGAAUGAAUUUACCCAUGUUCCCAGAGCCAAUCAAUGGUGAAAUAUCUAGUAAAGAUUUUUUGACAGCUUCAAGAGGAGUGAUUAGAAUUCUCGAUUAUUGUGGAAAAAUGUUCAUGCCUGUUAAACAUAAUUUACAAGUAAAUAUUGAUAAAAUAGCAAAGAUAUUUAAUCUUAAUCGUAAAAAUUAUUCAACCUUACAAAAAAUAAUAAUAGAACAAAAAAAUGAAGUGGAAAGCCGUACUGUUAUUGAUGCGUUAUUGUGGUUAGGAAGAGGAUUACAUAUGAUUCAAUUAUUUUUUGAAAGUAUAGUUAAUGAUUUUGAAUCGGGUAAAGGUUCUGAAGAUCUUGUAGCAUGCCUCAACAAAUCUUAUGAAUUAACUUUGGAACCAUAUCAUGGAUAUAUAUCUCAACAACUGUAUGGGCUUUUAGCUCGUAUGAUGCCGACACGUUCUCAAAUACUACAAUCAAUCGCCAAUGGCUAGCAGUUUUAUUUGUUUGUAUAAGUGUAAGGGAGAAACAUUUCUUAAGAGCUUAAAAUGUUACAUGCCUAGAAAAUUUUGCAUUGAAUAGAGCUGCCAAACAGCAGUCGAAUCAUUAGAAGUCAGUGACCCAACUAUUGGUAUUUAUCUAGGCCUUAUAAUUGCAAACCUUCACAUCUCGCUCAGAAUCGGAAAGCUCAAUCAGAUAUCCGUAAUUAUUCACGACGUAUUUUAUUUACUUAUUAAUAGUUAUAUAAGUUUACUGUGGAUUGGACGUGUUCAUACAACUAUUUGGAUUUUUGUAAAGAUC